rnacentral:lncRNA from 1 species
UAGAUAAUACGCUAUCCGCUUCGUUUAUUUCAUUUAGAAAUAAAUUUAGUUAGAAAUGUGAAUCAACUAGGAUUCGAAUUUAGGUCUCGGAUAUCAAUCACCAAACCCUUUGCCACUUGCUCUAGGGACGGUCGGUCAACCGGCAAUGUGUUGGCACGUGCAGUAGCAUACGUAAUUCGAUCAGUCUAAACCCAGAGGUGG